rnacentral:pre_miRNA from 1 species
AUCACCUGGGGAUCUUGUUAAAACAGAUUUUGAUUCAGUCAUUCUGAGAUGGGGCCCAAAAUUCUGAGUUUCUAACAAGCUCCCAAGUGACAUGGG